CGGAUUUAGUGGGUGUAAAGGGAGCGUAGGCGGAUUUUUAAGUGGGAUGUGAAAUACCCGGGCUCAACUUGGGGGCUGCAUUUCAAACUGGAUGUCUAGAGUGCAGGAGAGGAAAGCAGAAUUCCUAGUGUAGCGGUGAAAUGCGUAGAGAUUAGGAAGAACACCAGUGGCGAAGGCGACUCUCUGGACUGUAACUGACGCUGAGGCUCGAAAGCGUGGGGAGCAAACAGGAUUAGAUACCCUGGUAGUCGUCAGUAC
rnacentral:rRNA from 1 species